rfam:Osedax symbiont Rs1 5221_179, whole genome shotgun sequence.
UGUAUUGCCGCCGGAGCGAUUUGCUAAAUUGGCGCGUGGAGCGACAGGACGUCGCGAAAAGCUCAGUUAGGCCAGGGACGGCCUAUCUGAGCGGCCGUCAAUUUAGUGAAUCGCGGAGGGAUCUUU